rnacentral:rRNA from 1 species
AGUGAACGCUGGCGGUAGACCUAACACAUGCAAGUCGAACGGCAGCACAGUAAGAGCUUGCUCUUACGGGUGGCGAGUGGCGGACGGGUGAGGAAUACAUCGGAAUCUACUUUUUCGUGGGGGAUAACGUAGGGAAACUUACGCUAAUACCGCAUACGACCUACGGGUGAAAGCAGGGGAUCUUCGGACCUUGCGCGAUUGAAUGAGCCGAUGUCGGAUUAGCUAGUUGGCGGGGUAAAGGCCCACCAAGGCGACGAUCCGUAGCUGAUCUGAGAGGAUGAUCAGCCACACUGGAACUGAGACACGGUCCAGACUCCUACGGGAGGCAGCAGUGGGGAAUAUUGGACAAUGGGCGCAAGCCUGAUCCAGCCAUACCGCGUGGGUGAAGAAGGCCUUCGGGUUGUAAAGCCCUUUUGUUGGGAAAGAAAAGCAGCAGGUUAAUACCCCGCUGUUCUGACGGUACCCAAAGAAUAAGCACCGGCUAACUUCGUG